GCCUGCGCCCGGCUUGGCCGCACCGCUCUCCUCGCCGCCGGCCCACUCCUCGUCCUGCAGCGGCGGCCGUCCGUCCAGCGAGAUGUUGACUGAGGAUGCAGCCCCUGAUUUAAAUGCAUACCCGAGGGUGCGUAAGAACCCAGGAGCGAACAUCAAACGUGUGGCCAGACUAAUUGACACAUCUCCAUUUGAUGGUGCUGUCACUUUUCAUCUCUUUCUUAGCAAAGGCCAACAUAAAUUUUUACUUCGACCCAGAAACGUGCUCCGUUUUCCAUGAAGAACAAGGAAGAAGAGAAUGAUGUCUCCUUCAUCUCAACCUAUAAGGCUCGCUUCAAAUGAUACUUUCUCCACAGACCCUCCCUGACUUCCACUGUGUGAACACUGAGUUUUUCCCCAUCUCACAAGACGCUGCCCCCGUUCCUCCUUUUCCUGGAUUGGAGUCAGGACACCGGGGUCUCAUCCAUAUUCUGCAAUGAAUUUCCCUGUUUAAAGGUAGCAGCCCCGUGCUCGUGGCUCCUCUGACUGCAGGGUGAUGGCUGGUGAAUACAGAGAGAAUGCAAGCACCUGGCUUCACUAUCAAAUAAUUGGGUGUUAUCUGGUCAGGUAAGACGAGCAUACCCCUGGCCCACCACUCCUAAACAAUUAGACACCAGCUUUAGGGAUGUUAACUCAGGGACAGGCUUGUGAAUUGAAUGUGGCCGGUUACUCAGAAGGGUUUGGUGGGGGCCUGAGGCAGCGGCGAAAUAAUGAAAGGGUACUCUUGGGCUUCUGGUCCCAGCUGUGGAAGGGGGCAGAGCAACGAUACCGUGUGA